GAUGAACGCUGGCGGCAUGCCUAAUACAUGCAAGUCGAACGAGAGGAAGGAAAGCUUGCUUUUCUGAAUCUAGUGGCGAACGGGUGAGUAACACGUAGGUAACCUGCCCAUGUGCCCGGGAUAACUUCUGGAAACGGAUGCUAAAACCGGAUAGGUAGCAGACAAGCAUUUGACUGCUAUUAAAGUGGCUAAGGCCAUGAACAUGGAUGGACCUGCGGUGCAUUAGCUAGUUGGUGAGGUAACGGCCCACCAAGGCGACGAUGCAUAGCCGGCCUGAGAGGGCGGACGUCCACAUUGGGACUGGUACACGGCCCAAGCUCCUACGGGAGGCAGCAGUAGGGAAUUUUCGUCAAUGGGGAGAACCCUGACUGAGCAAUGCCGCGUGAGUGAUGAAGGUCUUCGGAUCGUAAAGCUCUGUUGUAAGAGAAAAACGACAUUCAUAGGGAAUGAUGAGUGAGUGAUGGUAUCUUACCAGAAAGUCACGGCUAACUACGUGCCAGCCGCCGCCGUAAGAC
rnacentral:rRNA from 1 species